UAGCCGGCUCUGGGCCCAUCUUCCAGCACAGUGUUGGAUGGUCUAAUUGUGAAGCUCCUAACACUGUCUGGUAAAGAUGGCCCUCGGGUCGGUU
rnacentral:pre_miRNA from 1 species